rnacentral:rRNA from 1 species
AUUGAACGCUGGCGGCAUGCUUUACACAUGCAAGUCGAACGGUAACAGGCCGCAAGGUGCUGACGAGUGGCGAACGGGUGAGUAAUGCAUCGGAACGUGCCCAGUCGUGGGGGAUAACGCAGCGAAAGCUGUGCUAAUACCGCAUACGAUCUAUGGAUGAAAGCGGGGGACCGUAAGGCCUCGCGCGAUUGGAGCGGCCGAUGUCAGAUUAGGUAGUUGGUGGGGUAAAGGCCUACCAAGCCAACGAUCUGUAGCUGGUCUGAGAGGACGACCAGCCACACUGGGACUGAGACACGGCCCAGACUCCUACGGGAGGCAGCAGUGGGGAAUUUUGGACAAUGGGCGCAAGCCUGAUCCAGCAAUGCCGCGUGCAGGAAGAAGGCCUUCGGGUUGUAAACUGCUUUUGUACGGAACGAAACGGUCUGGGUUAAUACCCUGGGCUAAUGACGGUACCGUAAGAAUAAGCACCGGCUAACUACGUG